CAGCCGUAAGCAAUGUGCGUUAGGUGUGUCGGUAACCACGCGUUACUGAUGCGCCGAAGAGAAAUCGUGAAACGCACCACCUGGGAAGUACGGUCGCAAGGCUGAAACUUAAAGGAAUUGGCGGGGGGAGCACCACAACAGGUGGAGCCUGCGGUUUAAUUGGAUUCAACGCCGGACAUCUCACCGGAUAAGACAGCUGAAUGAUUGUCAAUCUGAAGGUUUUACAUGACUAGCUGAGAGGUGGUGCAUGGCGUCAGUGACUGU
rnacentral:rRNA from 1 species